GUGAUGACGCUAUACUUGUUGAUAGAUGAUCGGGGUCCAAAGCGCUGA
rnacentral:snoRNA from 1 species